ensembl:lncRNA
UGCACCUAUCUCGUAAAGAUUUUUGGGAAGGAGUAAAAAAUGUUGGCGAGUCUCUCUGUCAGAAAUCCCCCAUUUAUACAACAAUGAGAACACAGAUUUUAGUCAUACUGUUUCCCAUGAUGCAUAAUGAGGUAUGAAAGUUCUAUUUUCCAACACCUUCGCUCACAUUACGCAACUCUGGGUUUACCUCUGAACUCAUCAGAGAUGGCUGCAUUGUUUCUGACUAUACUGGACCCUUUUAAUCUAUCUAUCCUCACACAUCACCUUAAAAUCUACUUUGUGUCUAUAUAAAAUUCCAUGAAGAAAAUGCAGAGGGUGCAAUACAAUUAUGGUGCAAUUUUGAGUAGAGCAAUAUCCAUACCAUUUUUCUACAAACUAAGUGUUUGCUUCCAAAUCCAGAAUAGCAAAAAUCUCUCAACGGAAACAGAUGUGGUCAAGAGGAUUGGCCCUUUAAAUGAGCCUUGUGCUGUGAGUGUGUGUGCUCUGUGUGUGUGUGAGCUGGACAGCAGCAUGAGGGUUUCCCACCAAACACACAUGGCCUCUUCAAGCACUGGUGUGCUAACUAGCCUCCCAGAUGUCAGGCGCUCUGAGUGACAUCCGAGAAUCCUGGACGAAGCCAGGGCCAGGGAAGAAAAAAACCAGCAGGGUCGUCUAUCCAGAGAGGCUGGCACAUACUGGCAUUCCUGAGGGGCAGGGGGGAGGAUAACAGCACCCCUGCAGGCCAGUGAACCAGCCUUCAAGACAGGACUUUCCACCCCAAGCAGUGCAGAGACGAUGAAGAACCACAUUGUAUGAUUCCCACAAUGGCUACUCUGUCACCACAAUCCCCACUAAUUUCAUUUGCCUGCGAGGUAGAGCAGAAAUUCCCCAAGAAUUCCUGUGAAGAAGAGUAGCCCCCAGUCUUGUGGACAAAAGUGUGUGUGUGUGCAUACGUGCAUGUCUUCCUUUGUACAGAUCAAGAACGGCCUGUCGAGAUGAACUUCUUCUGUAAGGGGCAUUUAAUGUCACACACACUCCCAAAAUGGAAUCAUAUCAUCACUGGCAUGAAAGUGCUGAACCGUAUAAUAUGAUGGGUAUUGUUUUCAGAGCCAUUUUUGAUAAACCCAAACGUUU